UGGGGAGUAGCCAAGUUGGUAAGGCCGCGCAUUGUUAAUGCGUCUAGCGCGGGUUCGAGUCCCGCAUCUCCAGCCA
rnacentral:tRNA from 1 species